rnacentral:rRNA from 1 species
UAGGGAAUCUUCGGCAAUGGACGAAAGUCUGACCGAGCAACGCCGCGUGAGUGAAGAAGGUUUUCGGAUCGUAAAACUCUGUUGUUAGAGAAGAACAAGGAUGAGAGUAAAAUGUUCAUCCCUUGACGGUAUCUAACCAGAAAGCCACGGCUAACUACGUGCCAGCAGCCGCGGUAAUACGUAGGUGGCAAGCGUUGUCCGGAUUUAUUGGGCGUAAAGCGAGCGCAGGCGGUUUCUUAAGUCUGAUGAUGCAAGCCCGCUCAACCGGGAGGGUCGUUGGAAACUGGGAGACUUGAGUGCAGAAGAGGAGAGUGGAAUUCCAUGUGUAGCGGUGAAAUGCGUAGAUAUAUGGAGGAACACCAGUGGCGAAGGCGGCUCUCUGGUCUGUAACUGACGCUGAGGCUCGAAAGCGUGGGGAGCGAACA